GACGAACGCUGGCGGCGUGCUUAACACAUGCAAGUCGAACGGAAAGGCCCUGCUUUUGUGGGGUUCUCGAGUGGCGAACGUGUGAGUAACACGUGAGUAACCUUCCCUUGACUUUGUGAUAACUUCAGGAAACUGGGGCUAAUACCGGAUAGGAGCUCCUGCUGCAUGGUGGGGGUUGGAAAGUUUCGGCUGUUGGGGAUGGACUCGCGGCUUAUCAGCUUGUUGGUGGGGUAGUGGCUUACCAAGGCUUUGACGGGUAGCCGGCCUGAGAGGGUGACCGGCGACAUGGGGACUGAGAUACGGCGCAGACUCCUACGGGAGGCAGCAGGGGGGAAUAUUGCACAAUGGGCGGAAGCCUGAGGCAGAAACGUCGCGUGCGGGAUGAAGGCCUUCGGGUUGGGAACCGCUGUCGGCUGAGACGAAGCGUGAGUGACGGUAAUGGGUAAAGAAGCACCGGCUAACUACGUG
rnacentral:rRNA from 1 species